rnacentral:rRNA from 1 species
UACGAAGGGGGCUAGCGUUGCUCGGAAUUACUGGGCGUAAAGGGAGCGUAGGCGGACUGUUAAGUUAGAGGUGAAAGCCCAGGGCUCAACCUUGGAAUUGCCUUUGAUACUGGCAGUCUUGAGUACGGAAGAGGUAUGUGGAACUCCGAGUGUAGAGGUGAAAUUCGUAAGAUAUUCGGAAGAACACCAGUGGCGAAGGCGACAUACUGGUCCGUUACUGACGCUGAGGCUCGGAAAGCGUGGGGAGCAAACAGG